rnacentral:rRNA from 1 species
GACGAACGCUGGCGGCGUGCUUAACACAUGCAAGUCGAGCGGUAAGGCCCUUUCGGGGGUACGACGAGCGGCGAACGGGUGAGUAACACGUGGGUGACCUGCCCUCAGCUCUGGGAUAAGCCUGGGAAACCGGGUCUAAUACUGGAUAUGACUCCAUGACGCAUGUUGUGGGGUGGAAAGCCUUGUGCGGCUGAGGAUGGGCCCCGCGGCCUAUCAGCUUGGUUGGUGGGGUGANGGCCUACCAAGGCGACGACGGGUAGCCGGCCUGAGAGGGCGACCGGCCACACUGGGACUGAGACACGGCCCAGACUCCUACGGGAGGCAGCGAGUGGGGAAUCUUGCGCAAUGGGCGAAAGCCUGACGCAGCGACGCCGCGUGAGGG